UACGUAGGGACCGAGCGUUGUCCGGAUUUAUUGGGCGUAAAGAGCUCGUAGGCGGCACGGUAAGUCAGAAGUGAAAAUGCAAGGCUCAACCUUGCAUUGCUUUUUGAUACUGCCGAGCUUGAGUAUGGCAGGGGGAAAAGGGAAUUCCACGUGUAGCGGUGAAAUGCGCAGAUAUGUGGAGGAACACCAGUGGCGAAGGCGCUUUUUCUGGGCCAUAACUGACGUGAGGAGCGAAA
rnacentral:rRNA from 1 species